GACGAACGCUGGCGGCGUGCUUAACACAUGCAAGUCGAACGGAAAGGCUCUGCUUUUGUGGGGUGCUCGAGUGGCGAACGGGUGAGUAACACGUGAGUAACCUGCCCUGGACUUUGGGAUAACUUCAGGAAACUGGGGCUAAUACCGGAUAGGAGCUCCUGCUGCAUGGUGGGGGUUGGAAAGUUUCGGCGGUUGGGGAUGGACUCGCGGCUUAUCAGCUUGUUGGUGGGGUAGUGGCUUACCAAGGCUUUGACGGGUAGCCGGGCUGAGAGGGUGACCGGCCACAUUGGGACUGAGAUACGGCCCAGACUCCUACGGGAGGCAGCAGUGGGGAAUAUUGCACAAUGGGCGGAAGCCUGAUGCAGCACCGCCGCGUGCGGGAUGACGGCCUUCGGGUUGUAAACCGCUUUCGCCUGUGACGAAGCGUGAGUGACGGUAAUGGGUAAAGAAGCACCGGCUAACUACGUG
rnacentral:rRNA from 1 species